rnacentral:lncRNA from 1 species
CCAAAUCCAACUUGGGAAUCUUUUUCCAUAGAUAUGAUGCAUAUAUUUUGGAAGGCGUAACAAUGGUUGUAUGACAUAGACAAAACCCACAAACAAAUUAUUGAUAAAAUAAGAAGAGAAGGGUACACGCGAGGAUGACGAUAUUGGUUCUCGGUCUCAACAUUCUGACCAAUAACAUGUCUUUGUUGAAACCGUCAAAUCAAGAAUCAUGAGUGACAACAAAUGAACCUACCAUAACCUUCGAUUGUCGAUCAGCUUGUGGAGAGCUCUAGACACACCGCACCGAUGGCACCUUUGUUAUUGAAUUGUGGAAAUAGGCAUUUGAAUGAGCAUAAGAGUUUUUG